rnacentral:lncRNA from 12 species
UUAAUAUACAAACUUAUAUGUGUAUGUAUAUAUGUGUGUGUGUACAUAUUUAUGUAUGUGUUUAUAUAUAAAUUUGUAUAUUCUAUGUUUAAAUUUUUCACUUCAUAUGCAGAAACUUGGUUUUGACUCUUAUUGCUGCUUGGGGUGCUUGAGGGCUGAUUCUGCUAAUUUCCAACUCAGAUCAUGAUAUACAAGGACCACUGUUACCUCAGGACAGAAAUCGAUCCAAAAUGGACACCAUUGAACAUUUGAGAAAGAAACUCCAGAAACCUGAGAAAAAAAAUUUGGAAUUAACCAAUCAGUGCAAUCAAGAUAGGUCUCGCUAUGAAAAAGAAAUAAUGAAAUUAAGGUUAGAACUCGAGAGAGGAGAGGCUCUUCAUCGAGUUCGGGAGAGUGAAAUGUCCUCUGCUAGAAAAGAGGCUCAUGUGCAGAUGUAUUCUGCAGAAGACAAGCUAUGUGAUGUAAAAGCCAAGCUUUUGGAACUGCAAGUACUCAAUGACAAGUAUCAGCAGAAGGUAGCAGAGAUUAAAAAACUGUUUCAAAGUGCUUGGUGGCAGUGGGAAGAGGAACAACAAAAAUCUGCAGUGGAGAGAGAUAACAUCCGCAGAGUGUACCUCGCUGAAGUGAAAUACCUUAUUAAAGAAAAAGCUCAAACAGAAAAGGCUUGUCAGGUGUGAUGUAUUAAUAGAUGGAAAGUUCCAUGAGAUGCUGACUGAAAGUUUUUGUGGUGCAAA